rnacentral:rRNA from 1 species
UACGUAGGGUGCAAGCGUUGUCCGGAAUUAUUGGGCGUAAAGAGCUCGUAGGCGGCUUGUCGCGUCGGCUGUGAAAACCCUGGGGGCUCAACCCCCGGGGCCUGCAGCCGAUACGGGCAAGCUAGAAUUCGGUAGGGGAGACUGGAAUUCCUGGUGUAGCGGUGAAAUGACGCAGAUAUCAGGAGGAACACCGGUGGCGAAGGCGGUUCUCUGGGCAUUACCUGACGCUGAGGAGCGAAAGUGUGGGGGAGCAAACAGG